GUUUUCCUACGUAACAAACCUGCACAUCCUGCACAUGUAUCCUGGAACUUAAAAUAAAAUAAAAUAAAAUAAAAUUUUUUAAAAGGAUAAAUAAAUAGCAGCCUAGUCCAAAGACGUUUACAUCCUGGAAGAGAACUUGCUGGCUUUUCACCUCAGCAUGUAUGGGCCAAACUAAUAUAACAAAAAGUCUUGAGAGGAGUCAGUGGCCAAGCUCCAUGUCUUGCAGCCAAGCAAUGCUGUGGGAUGGAAGGUGGGAUGUCAUGUGUCUGGUUUACAGCACUCACGUAUCAGUUGGCAGUUAACGGAAGUGCUACUGAUUGGUGAUAUGCCUGCUCCCCCUUCACCUUCUAUCAUGAUUGUAAACUUCGUGAGGACAUCACCAAAGGCUGACAUUGGCAACAUGCUUCCUGUACAAUCUGCAGAACAACGAUGGAACAAAAUAAACAUCUUUUCUUUAUAAAUUA
rnacentral:lncRNA from 1 species